rnacentral:sRNA from 1 species
GCCGGGCACAGUGGCGCAUGCCUGUAAUCCCAGCAGCUCAGGAGGCUGAGGCAGGAAGAUCAUUUGUUCAAAGCCAGCCUCAGCAAAAGCAAGGUGCUAAGCAACUCGGCAAGACCCUGUCUCUA